UACGUAGGUGGCAAGCGUUGUCCGGAAUUAUUGGGCGUAAAGCGCGCGCAGGUGGUUUCUUAAGUCUGAUGUGAAAGCCCACGGCUCAACCGUGGAGGGUCAUUGGAAACUGGGGGACUUGAGUGCAGAAGAGGAAAGCGGAAUUCCACGUGUAGCGGUGAAAUGCGUAGAGAUGCGGAGGAACACCAGUGGCGAAGGCGGCUUUCUGGUCUGUAACUGACGCUGAGGCGCGAAAGCGUGGGGAGCAAACAGG
rnacentral:rRNA from 1 species